CAGACUCUGGAGCGGAAACUUACACCUGACAGUCCGCCUCGUCUUCGGCCUGGAAGUGGUACGUUCUGUCGUCUGCAAGAGAGGAGCAAAGGGAUGAAGACAUGGAAACCGUGUUGGUCCGAUGUGAGGACGGAUCGGGUCUGCUGCGUACGGGAGAACAGGUCGAAGCUCUUCUUCUCGUCGGGAUUCAUCUUCACCUGGCAGAGGAAUCCAGAGUAUUUGGUGCCGUGAGCUUUGUUUCCUUGAAGCUGAUGGAGGUUGUAACCGACGCUCUGCUUCGCCUGAAGAUCCUGAGGUUUUCUUACUUGCACUGAGCGUGGAAGUACUUGAUGAGGUUCUGGAGGAAGUCGACGCCUUUCUUCUGCUUGAUCUCGUUGACCUUCAGCAGGUACUGCAGCGACA